rnacentral:misc_RNA from 1 species
GUUGAAGAACGUAGUGAAAUGCGAUAAGUAAUGUGAAUUGCAGAAUCUUGUGAAUCAUCGAAUCUUUGAACGCACAUUGCGCCCCCUGGUAUUCCGGGGGGCAUGCCUGUCCGAGCGUCAUUACAACCCUCAAGCUCAGCUUGGUGUUGGGCCCCGCCGCCCCGGCGGGCCCUAAAGUCAGUGGCGGUGCCGUCCGGCUCCGAGCGUAGUAAUUCUUCUCGCUCUGGAGGUCCGGUCGUGUGCUCGCCAGCAACCCCCAAUUUUUUUCAGGUUGACCUCGGAUCAGGUAGGGAUACCCGCUGAACUUAAGCAUAUCAAUAAGCGGAGGA